UCAUGACGAACGCUGGCGGCGUGCUUAACACAUGCAAGUCGAACGGAAAGGCCCUGCUUUUGUGGGGUGCUCGAGUGGCGAACGGGUGAGUAACACGUGAGUAACCUGCCCUUGACUUUGGGAUAACUUCAGGAAACUGGGGCUAAUACCGGAUAGGAGCUCCUGCUGCAUGGUGGGGGUUGGAAAGUUUCGGCGGUUGGGGAUGGACUCGCGGCUUAUCAGCUUGUUGGUGGGGUAGUGGCUUACCAAGGCUUUGACGGGUAGCCGGCCUGAGAGGGUGACCGGCCACAUUGGGACUGAGAUACGGCCCAGACUCCUACGGGAGGCAGCAGUGGGGAAUAUUGCACAAUGGGCGGAAGCCUGAUGCAGCAACGCCGCGUGCGGGAUGACGGCCUUCGGGUUGUAAACCGCUUUCGCCUGUGACGAAGCGUGAGUGACGGUAAUGGGUAAAGAAGCACCGGCUAACUACGUGCCAGCAGCCGCGGUGAUACGUAGGGUGCGAGCGUUGUCCGGAUUUAUUGGGCGUAAAGGGCUCGUAGGUGGUUGAUCGCGUCGGAAGUGUAAUCUUGGGGCUUAACCCUGAGCGUGCUUUCGAUACGGGUUGACUUGAGGAAGGUAGGGGAGAAUGGAAUUCCUGGUGGAGCGGUGGAAUGCGCAGAUAUCAGGAGGAACACCAGUGGCGAAGGCGGUUCUCUGGGCCUUUCCUGACGCUGAGGAGCGAAAGCGUGGGGAGCGAACAGGCUUAGAUACCCUGGUAGUCCACGCUGUAAACGGUGGGUACUAGGUGUGGGGUCCAUUCCACGGGUUCCGUGCCGUAGCUAACGCUUUAAGUACCCCGCCUGGGGAGUACGGCCGCAAGGCUAAAACUCAAAGGAAUUGACGGGGCCCCGCACAAGCGGCGGAGCAUGCGGAUUAAUUCGAUGCAACGCGUAGAACCUUACCUGGGUUUGACAUGGAUCGGGAGUGCUCAGAGAUGGGUGUGCCUCUUUUGGGGUCGGUUCACAGGUGGUGCAUGGCUGUCGUCAGCUCGUGUCGUGAGAUGUUGGGUUAAGUCCCGCAACGAGCGCAACCCUUGUUCACUGUUGCCAGCACGUUAUGGUGGGGACUCAGUGGAGACCGCCGGGGUCAACUCGGAGGAAGGUGGGGAUGACGUCAAGUCAUCAUGCCCCUUAUGUCCAGGGCUUCACGCAUGCUACAAUGGCUGGUACAGAGAGUGGCGAGCCUGUGAGGGUGAGCGAAUCUCGGAAAGCCGGUCUCAGUUCGGAUUGGGGUCUGCAACUCGACCUCAUGAAGUCGGAGUCGCUAGUAAUCGCAGAUCAGCAACGCUGCGGUGAAUACGUUCCCGGGGCUUGUACACACCGCCCGUCAAGUCAUGAAAGUUGGUAACACCCGAAGCCGGUGGCCUAACCGUUGUGGGGGAGCCGUCGAAGG
rnacentral:rRNA from 1 species